AUGAUCGGAGCCAAGACUGAAGAGGUAGCAGCAAUGAACGGCCUAUCAGUCAAUCUACAUUUAUUGUUGAUAUCAUUUUAUAGACCAACAAAAGAUAGAUAUAAAAUUCUGAUAGAAGAGAAAUCGUUUCCAUCUGAUCAUUAUGCAGUCGAAUCGCAAAUACGCUUACAUGGUUACGAUCCGAAGGAAUGCAUGGUUUUAGCAGAGCCUAGAGAGGGUGAGCACACUCUCCGGAUGGAGGAUCUUUUAAAUUUAAUUGAGAAAGAAGGUGAGAGCAUUGCAGUGAUUGUUUUCUCUGGUGUUCAGUAUUACACGGGACAGCUGUUUGACAUGAAGGCUAUUACUGAGGCUGGUCAUAAAUAGGGUUGCUACGUUGGUUUUGAUCUUGCCCAUGCUAUUGGUAAUGUGGAGAUAUCACUCCAUGAGUGGGACGUUGAUUUUGCUUGCUGGUGUUCGUACAAGUAUUUAAAUGCCGGUCCUGGUGGUUUGGCAGGAGCUUUUAUACACGAAAAACACGCACGUAAUGAUUUUCCAAAACUUAUUGGAUGGUGGGGACAUGAUAUAAAGUCACGGCUUAAAAUGUCAAAUGAGCUGGAGCUUGCUCCUGGCGUGGCUGGUUAUAGAAUAUCGAGCCCUCCAGUCAUUCUAGCAUGUGCACUGUUAGCAAGUAUGGAUAUUUUCAUGCAAGUUCCGAUGUCUGAUUUAAGAGCAAAGUCUUACCUGCUUACUGGCUAUCUAGAGUUACUGAUUCAAACAUACUAUUCUAAACCGUCUGAUCCUUUGGAAAACAAGCUCGACAAACCUUAUGUGGACAUCAUCACCCCAUCCGAUCCAAAACAACGGGGAUGUCAGCUCUCACUGAUGUUCUCCGUGCCAAUUUUAAAAGUAUUCGAGGAAUUGGAAAAACGAGGAGUUGUGUGUGACAAGAGAGAGCCAAAUGUUAUUCGUGUAGCACCGACAGCCAUGUACAAUUCCUUUACGGAUGUUCAUAGAUUCAUUACAUUUCUUGGGGAAGCUCUAAAUGCCGCGAAAUAGUGAUUGUCUAGACGGCUUGUCGCAUGAUGAGUAGAUAUGAGAUUAUAUUUGCGAGGAUAGAAUUAGUGUCGGCUAUUAAAUUGUAUUUAACUUCAGUUAAAUUGAAAGAACAUGGUCUUAAUGGUAAUUUUAUGUAAAUGGUGUGCUUUACAAUCAUUAUACACAUUAAAGCUUUAUAUGGCUUGCGUCA